rnacentral:rRNA from 1 species
AGAGUUUGAUCCUGGCUCAGAUUGAACGCUGGCGGCAUGCCUUACACAUGCAAGUCGAACGGUAACGCGGGGGCAACCCUGGCGACGAGUGGCGAACGGGUGAGUAAUACAUCGGAACAUAUCCAGUAGCGGGGGAUAACCUAUCGAAAGAUGGACUAAUACCGCAUACGAUCUACAGAUGAAAGCAGGGGACCGCAAGGCCUUGCACUAUUGGAGUGGCCGAUGUCGGAUUAGCUAGUUGGUGAGGUAAAGGCUUACCAAGGCGACGAUCCGUAGCUGGUCUGAGAGGACGAUCAGCCACACUGGGACUGAGACACGGUCCAGACUCCUACGGGGGGCAGCAGUGGGGAAUUUUGGACAAUGGGCGCAAGCCUGAUCCAGCCAUGCCGCGUGAGUGAAGAAGGCCUUCGGGUUGUAAAGCUCUUUCGGUGAAGACGAAACGGUUAGCGCUAAUAACGCUGACUAUGACGGUACUCACAGAAGAAGCACCGGCUAACUACGUGCCAGCAGCCGCGGUAAUACGUAGGGUGCAGGCGUUAAUCGGAAUUACUGGGCGUAAAGCGUGCGCAGGCGGUUUGCUAAGACAGGUGUGAAAUCCCCGAGCUUAACUUGGGAAUUGCGCUUGUAACUGGCAAGCUAGAGUGUGGCAGAGGGGGGUGGAAUUCCACGUGUAGCAGUGAAAUGCGUAGAUAUGUGGAGGAACACCGAUGGCGAAGGCAGCCCCCUGGGUUAACACUGACGCUCAUGCACGAAAGCGUGGGGAGCAAACAGGAUUAGAUACCCUGGUAGUCCACGCCCUAAACUAUGUCAACUAGUUGUCGGGGAAGAAAUUCCUUGGUAACGAAGCUAACGCGUGAAGUUGACCGCCUGGGGAGUACGGCCGCAAGGUUAAAACUCAAAGGAAUUGACGGGGACCCGCACAAGCGGUGGAUUAUGUGGAUUAAUUCGAUGCAACGCGAAAAACCUUACCUACCCUUGACAUGCUAGGAAGCCCGCAGAGAUGUGGGUGUGCCCGAAAGGGAACCUAGACACAGGUGCUGCAUGGCUGUCGUCAGUUCGUGUCGUGAGAUGUUGGGUUAAGUCCCGCAACGAGCGCAACCCUUGCCAUUAGUUGCUACAUUCAGUUGGGCACUCUAAUGGGACCGCCGGUGACAAACCGGAGGAAGGUGGGGAUGACGUCAAGUCCUCAUGGCCCUUAUGGGUAGGGCUUCACACGUAAUACAAUGGUCGGUACAGAGGGCUGCCAACCCGCAAGGGGGAGCUAAUCCCAGAAAGCCGAUCGUAGUCCGGAUUGUAGUCUGCAACUCGACUGCAUGAAGCCGGAAUCGCUAGUAAUCGCGGAUCAGCAUGUCGCGGCGAGUACGUUCCCGGGUCUUGUACACACCGCCAAAAAAAG